AACGAACGCUGGCGGCAUGCCUAACACAUGCAAGUCGAACGGGAUCCUAGCUUGCUAGGUGAGAGUGGCGGACGGGUGAGUAACACGUGGGAAUCUGCCUUUUUGGUUCGGGAUAACCGCGGGAAACUGCGGCUAAUACCGAAUGCCCUCGAGAGAGGAAAGAUUUAUCGCCAGAAGAGGAGCCCGCGUCCGAUUAGGUAGUUGGUGGGGUAAAGGCCUACCAAGCCGACGAUCGGUAGCUGGUCUGAGAGGAUGAUCAGCCACACUGGGACUGAGAUACGGCCCAGACUCCUACGGGAGGCAGCAGUGGGGAAUAUUGGACAAUGGGGGCAACCCUGAUCCAGCAAUGCCGCGUGAGUGAUGAAGGCCUUUAGGG
rnacentral:rRNA from 1 species